UAUUAUUAUUAUUAUUAUUAUAUUUAUGAUGAUAAAUCUUGAGGACUACUUAAGGUAUCAAUAAUAUAGUAUCAGCAGUAGGACACGAACAAAUCGAUCGAGAACUCAAGGAUCUGCUGACUGGCGCAAGAUCGCUUCUAAUCACGCUAGUGCAUGAAAUGAAUGCAGUGACCUCCAAUUGAGAACAAGGACAAUUAUUCUAGAUUUAUUUCUUUUACCUGGGAGCUGGGCGGCGACAGCGGCUCGAGGAUCACGUUCUUCUUCUUUAAAGAGCCGAAGUAGGGGGCGCCUCCUCCCGGCUUUCCCCAGGGAGAGUAAGUUGACUGCAAGUGACGGAGCUGGAAAUAUUCAUUUGAUAAAAUAAUUUGACGAAAUUUUGCGAAAAACAAGAUCGAUGUAUCAAGGAUGAAUGAUAGAGUUAUCCUGACGGUAGUUUCCCGCCGGAAAUCCCCCAUUAAUCGGGAUAAAUUCAGUAUAUGUCCAUAAAUGUACAUAAAUAUAUCUGUACAUAAAUAUCGAGCGAUUUGUAUGGUAAUUCAGUAUCAGUAUUAUCACAGUACACAAAGGCAUUACGUUCAUCAAAUCGAGAGUUAAACAAUCCGACAAUCCUGUCUUAAUCUUCAGGAAUAAAUUUAUAUACAUAUAUAUAUAUAUAUAUAUAUAUAUAUAUAUAUAUAUAUAUAUAUAUAUAUAUAUAUAUAAAAUAUAAAUUCUGUCGCGAGCUUCCACUAGCCGGGGGUAAAAUCUGUCUUUAAGUAGUUUUCGAGAUUAUGCUAAUUUAUAUGCUUGUAUAGGAGAAUAUAGAGUCUAUGAGUGGCAAGAGUUGUUGAAGCGCAGAAGGUAAUAUCUGGAAAGUUGAGACUUUGGUUACACACCCAAAGGUAGGCAACUGUAAGGGUAAUAAUAAUAGUAAUAGUAAUAUCUAUUUGAAUGAAUGAAUAGAUAACUUUGAGAGAGAAGAGAAGGGAAGGGACGGGGAAGUAAUACUAUUUAUUAAAUAACGCUAAGUCCUUUAUGGGCUACUGAGAUACCGGAUAACUUGGCUAAUUAAUUACAAAACUUAACGAAUCAUAUUGUUUGAGUUUAUAGUGUUAAGUGUUAUUAAAUUCUGAUUAAUAUUUUAAUAACAGA